AGGUGGAGGUUGCAGUGAGCCGAGAUCAUGUCACUGCACUCCAGCCUGGGCAAUAGAGUGAGACGCUAUCUCAAACAAACAAACAAACAAAAAUACAAUAAAAAGUUGGGGAAAGAAAUAAGAAAAAAAAAAACCUGCUCCUGCAGCUCUCUGGCCAGAAGUGAGGUUUUUCUUCUCUGAAUGCAUUCAAACAUUCUACCCAAGAUCUCCUUGAAUUAGGAAGGCACUGGGUGCCAAAGUCUGUCUUUGAGGUCAGGAUCUGCGCCUGUGCCUCCUAAGGCCUGCCUUGGUGCCUGGGGCCUGCAGACGCUGGACGGAUGAAGGAACCAAUGGCAGGGGCUCAGCCCAUAGCUCUGGGCAAAGCUCUCCAGUGCAGGUGAGGCGGAUGUAACUGACACCCGGCAGCAGCCCCGUGCAUUUGAGGCCUCUGGUGACCUGCAGGCGGCAGAGUGGUGAGGAACCCAGGUUUGGGUCUAGGUGCCAGCUCUGCUGUUUGCUAGCUUUGUCUCCUUGUCUGCUAAAUUGGCAGAGAAUCGUCUCAGCUUUAUGAGAUUGUGUGAGGAUCAAAUGGGACUAUGCCUGGGAACUGCUUCCUGUGGCAAUUUUUGGGAGGGCAGACCCUGCCCAGCAGCCAUCCCUCCUUAUUUCUCUUGCUAAACAGAGCCCUGGUCUGCUUAUGGAACCAGCUGAAAUGCUGCGAUCUCAGUGCCAGAGGCUGGUCUCAUCAGUCCUGGGCAUCUGAUUCUCCUGGACCGAUGGUGGGUCUGAGUGUGGCCAUAUAACGGCACUCUGGCUAAUGAGACAUGAGAGGAAGUCUGUGGGGUGUGCAGGGAGGGUGACAGUGGGGACUCAUCCUCAUCAGAAGACAGAGACUUCCAGGGAGACUGCCCUUUCCUUGUUUCCCUUCUUCCUGCCUUGAAUGCAGAUGUGACAGUUGGCGGGUCAGCAGCCAUUCUGUAGUAAUGAGAUGAUAAGGAUGACAAAGAGAUUGCAGGAAAUCCAGCCCUGCCAUCAUCAAGGCAAGCGUUACUGCCUCCUGAUUUCUUGUUAUGGAAGAAAGAUUAACGCCUAUUUUUCUUCCCUAAACCACUAUAAAUUGGAUUUUUCUUUGACCUGACACCAAACACAUUCCUAUAGAAUUCACUGCCACACAGCCGAGUAAAUGUUUGCUUUUACCUGGCUUUUACAACUCUCUGAGCUUCCCACCAUCUAGAAGAUGAAAGUAGGGUGGGUGAGGUGGCUCACGCCUGUAAUCCCAGCACUUUGGGAGGCUGAGGCAGGUGGAUCAUUUGAGACCAGGAGUUCGAGACCAGCCUGGCCAACAUGGUGAAACCCCGUCUCUACUAAAAAUACAAAAAUUAGCCAGGCAUGGUGGCACACGCUUGUAAUCCCAGCUACUCAGGAGGCUGAAGCAGGAGAAUCACUUGAACCCGGGAGGUGGAGGUUGCAGUGAGCCAAGAUUGCACCACUGCACUCCAGCCUGGGCCAGAGAGUGAGACUCUUGUCUCAAAAAAAAAAAAAAAAGAAAGAAAGAAAGAAAGAAAAUGAAGGCAGAGACAUCUGUCCCCAUAGACUAUUGUGAGGAUUAAAGGAGCUAGGGGCUGUGAAAUUACUCUGUGGACUGUGAAGGCUUCAGCUGAGGAGGACUAAUGUGGCCUUUCUCCCGGAGACCAGGGCUUCCUUGAGUGAGGAUGAAAUAAACUGUAGCCAGAGAGAAGAAAGCAACAGGCAUGUUUCGGAGCAGAGUCCCGGGCCCAGCUGUCGAGCAGGCCUCACUGCUCCCUCACCUGUUUCUGGGACAGGAGACAUGGUUUGAGGGCAGCAUGAUGGUUGGUCAAGUGCUUGAAUUCUGGAGCCCAGCUGUCUCUGCUCCUCCUUAAGCAAGGCCACAGACUGCGUAUCCCCUCCUCGGACCCCCACAGCUGCCCACGUGCCCUCAUCCCCUCAUCAGAGCCCUUGUCCCCACCCUAGGUUGUCAUUGCCUGUUUGCCUUGUGCUCCCUGAGACAGGGACUGAGGGUGUCCUCUUCACCCUCACACCUGGCACAGUGAACUUGACCUUGAGGCUGGCCAGACUGCGGCAGGGAAGUGAGUAUGGCCAGGGCAGGAGGCAGGACAGGCAGGACCAUGUCCUGGGAGAAGGGCGGGGCAGGCUGGGGACAUGAGGGUGCAGGGGUGAGGGGUCAGAUAGUGGUGACUUUGAGUGCGUGAGAGAGGAGGGGCUCGGUGCCCUGGGUUCUGGCAGGAUGGCAAGACCACCUCUCCUCUCCUGAAGAAUCAGGCAGUGACUUGGAAGCUGGUUUGGGAGAUUGGAGGAGUGACAGCAGGACCAUGAUCCUGUGGGAUGGUACCUGCUACGUACCAAGUCUUGUGUUCGUUCUGGGGAUGCAGCUGUGCCCCAGACAAGGAUCCUGUCCAUGGAAACUCACAGCCUAGCGGCGGAAGAGGGCAACGGAGUGGAUGGAGGAAUAUACCCCUCACACUGAGGUUCAAAGCUGGUAGGUGCCGAAGGGCACUCACUGCAGACCUACUGUGCACCAGCACUACUGAGUCAGGAUCUCCGUUCUCUGGGAGCUCAGCUGCAGGGAACAACACUGUGUGUGCAUGUUUGCACCCCCUCUCUGUGGGUCUGUGGUGAGUGGCCAGUGUGUGUUCGUGUGUGUACAGCUGUCUGUGGGUGUGGCUGGGAGCUUUUGCACCUGUGAGUAUGUCUGUGUUUUGCUGGUAGUAUUGUGUGUGUGUGUGUGUGUGUGUGUGUGUAGGAAGGGAGCAGGCAUCUGCAGCAGAAGCUGAGGUCUCAGGUCAGGCCCAAUUCACCUCCCUCCCAGCCCCCCAGGACAGGAGAGGAGAAUGGAGUCCAGGGUUCAGCCCAGAGGAGGACUCCCAUGAGGAGGGGGCUUUGAGGAAAUGGGGAUAUUGGGCGUCUUUCCCUGGCAGCUGAGUUGGGGGCAGCAACAGGGGAACAGCGGGGAAGCAUCCUUAGAGGUCCCCCCAUCAGUCAGCCCAGCUGCAGACAGCCUCAGGGUACCCUCAUUUUCUUUUCUGAGUCCUGGUAUAAUAGAGCUUCAGAAGAGUCAGCAAUGGCAAAUUCCUCAAAUGGGGAAACUGAGGCAGGGGUGGGGUGCUGACUUGGCCAGGUCGCCCCACCCCCAGCAGUCCUGACCCCAGACCCCCAGCUCUCCCAGCGCACCUGCCGCUCACUCCAUGGAGGUUAUGGCCCGGGUGGGGUACAGGUAACAUGACCACCAAAAUCAGCGGUGACCUGGCCUCCACCCUCUGGAAGCUAGCGCUCCAGAACCCCCAGCCCCUCCCUGGGUUUCAAAUCCUGCCUUGCCCCUUCCAG
rnacentral:lncRNA from 10 species